rnacentral:rRNA from 1 species
AAAUUGAAGAGUUUGAUCAUGGCUCAGAUUGAACGCUGGCGGCAGGCCUAACACAUGCAAGUCGAACGGUAACAGGAAGCAGCUUGCUGCUUCGCUGACGAGUGGCGGACGGGUGAGUAAUGUCUGGGAAACUGCCUGAUGGAGGGGGAUAACUACUGGAAACGGUGGCUAAUACCGCAUAACGUCGCAAGACCAAAGAGGGGGACCUUCGGGCCUCUUGCCAUCAGAUGUGCCCAGAUGGGAUUAGCUUGUUGGUGAGGUAACGGCUCACCAAGGCGACGAUCCCUAGCUGGUCUGAGAGGAUGACCAGCCACACUGGAACUGAGACACGGUCCAGACUCCUACGGGAGGCAGCAGUGGGGAAUAUUGCACAAUGGGCGCAAGCCUGAUGCAGCCAUGCCGCGUGUAUGAAGAAGGCCUUCGGGUUGUAAAGUACUUUCAGCGGGGAGGAAGGUGUUGCGGUUAAUAACCGCAGCAAUUGACGUUACCCGCAGAAGAAGCACCGGCUAACUCCGUGCCAGCAGCC